GCCAGGCAGGCCACCAUGGGCCUGGCCGGGCUGCAGGAGAACGUGUUUGCUGGGCAGUCAAAGAUCUAUUCCUUCAUGAGCCCGAACAAAUGCUCUGGAAUGCGUUCCCCCUUCAGGAAGAGAAUUCAGAUGCACACCACAAAGUCAAAUGUCAAGGGAAACCAUUAGCUGGGAUCUACAGGAAAUGAGAAGAGAAAAGGAAUGCCGGGAACACAAUACAAAGCACCCUGAAGUCUGAGGAACAGAAGGUCAAAGACACCAGGAGAGGUCCCCUGGCACCUUUUCCAAACCAAAAAUCCGAAGCAGCAGAACCUCCAAAAUCUCCACCCUCAUCAUGUGAUUCUACCAAUACAGUGGGCGCCAAGUAAGCCCUGAAAAAACCCCUCAGGGGCAAACAGGCCCCUCGGGAAAAAGCUCAAGGGAAAACGCAACAGAAUCGCAAAAUCACAGAUUUCUACCCAGUCCAAAGGAGCUCCAGGAAGACCAAAGCUGAGCUGCAGUAUGAAGAAAGGAAAAAAAUAGAUGAGUUGAUUGAAAGCGGGAAGGAAGAAGGCAUGAAGAUUGACUUAAUCGAUGGCAAAGGCAGGGGUGUGAUUGCCACCAAGCAGUUCUCCUGGGGUGAUUUUGUGGUGGAAUAUCACGGGGACCUCAUCGAGAUCACUGACGCCAAGGAGCAAGAGGCUCUGUACGCACAGGACCCCUCCAUGGGCUGCUACAUGUACUAUUUUCAGUAUCUGAGCAAGACCUACUGCAUGGAUGCCACUCAUAAGACAAACCACCUGGGGAGGCUGAUCAAUCACAGCAAGUGUGGGAACUGCCAAACCAAACUACAUGACAUCGACGGAGUGCCUCACCUCAUCCUCAUCGCCUCCCGAGACAUCGCCACUGGGGAGGAGUGUUUGUAUGACUACAGUGACCGCAGCAAGGCCUCCAUCAAAGCCUACCCAUGGCUGAAGCAUUAA